rnacentral:misc_RNA from 1 species
GUAACGAUUGUAUAUAUCAGAACAGGUAAUGCUAGAUGCAAAAAGAGUUUUAAUGUUCCAACGGCAGGUUGCCCCACCGAAGGAGAACGAAAGGUGCUCGUAAAAAAAGGAUUCGGGUAUGUGGAGCGUGAGAGUUUUACCUCUACCGCCCGGGGGGAUGCCCCGGGGGCCGCAGCCACACCGAUGGGAUAGAUAAUGAUCCUUCCGCAGGUUCACCUACGGAAA